AUCUGAUGAUAUUUGCCCAUCUUUUCAAAUUACUGAAUAAGGUAAUAGAGAGUGGAAGAGGCACAGCAGGUCUCGCAGAUAUCGCGGACGGCGCGAUAGACUUGCAAGAUUGAAUUCAACAAACCGAAUUCAACAAGUAAAUAGAACUGCAAAUACGGAGGAAGAAACCGAAAGGACAGAGGAGCCACUAGCAAACACGGAAUCUAUUAAAUGAGAUUAUUGAAAUUUUAGACGAAGAAAGUCAAGAAGAAAAU